rnacentral:rRNA from 1 species
UACGGAGGGUGCGAGCGUUGUCCGGAAUCACUGGGCGUAAAGGGCGCGUAGGCGGCCUGAUAAGUAGGGGGUGAAAUCCUGCGGCUUAACCGCAGGGCUGCCUUCUAAACUGUCAGGCUCGAGCACAGUAGAGGCAGGUGGAACUCCCGGUGUAGCGGUGGAAUGCGUAGAGAUCGGGAAGAACAUCAGUGGCGAAGGCGGCCUGCUGGGCUGUUGCUGACGCUGAGGCGCGACAGCGUGGGGAGCAAACAGG